UCCAUCUCUGCUGGGGGAUAUGAAGUAAAUGAUCACGGAGGAGCCAGAUACAAUUUUGGCGAUAGGGCGCAUAGACGACGUUGCAGGUCCUCUGUCUGAGUCUUCUGCUGGCCAUUCCAUUGGUGGCAUUCUUGUCAGCUACGAGCACAGUUACAAAUUCAGCAAAACCUAGGGCUUGAUUCUAUUUGCAAGCUCAGGAUUAUUUUUGUGUCAGCAAUUAGCUGCGGAGUUGCCAUAGAAACAACGAUGCCUAGGUACUACUGUGACUACUGUGACACUUAUCUGACCCAUGACUCACCAUCAGUAAGAAAGCAGCAUAAUGCAGGUUACAAACAUAAGGCAAAUGUGAGAACCUACUACCAGCAAUUUGAGGAGCAACAAACCCAGAGCCUAAUUGACCAAAGGAUCAAGGAACAUCUUGGGCAAGCUGCAGCAUUUCAGCAGGUUGGUGCAGCUUUUAAUCAGCACCUGCUGACUCAGAGGCCUCGCUUUCCAAUCUUGCCUACACCAGGAGUGCCAAUUGCUGGAAAUGCUCAAAUUCUGGGAAGUCAACCACUAAUGCCAGGGAUCAGACCUCCCAUGUUGCCUAGACCAGUUCCUGGUGCUCCAGGAUAUGCUUCUGUACCUACCAUGCCUCCCAUGGUACCUCCACCAGGUGCUCCCAUGGCACCAGGUCAAGCAGCUAUACCCAGGCCUUCUACACUAGCACCCCCAGCUACUGGUCCGGGCAGUGCUGCUACGCCAACUUCUAGUGGUACCCCCUCCAUGGUGUCAUCAGCUAUGUAUCAAGCCAAUCCAUCAGCAUCAUCUGGGGGCUAUGAAGGUUUCAAUGCCAAUGCUCAGUCAACUGAGGGCAAUCACUGACGUGUUCUCUGCAUAAUUCCAGAGGAGAGUUAUGACCGGAACUAUGUUGUGUUCUUCCUACAGGAAAUUUUUUAUCACACAUAGUUUCAAUUGGAUGACCCGAGAGGACUUAGUGCUACGUAUGGCAUGUUAAGGAACACAAACUUGAUCAGUUGGUAGAUCUGGCAUAACAUGGUUUGCUUACUAUAAUUCCAUACGACGUGAAUCUGACGUGGUCAGACUGAAAGACAAUACGUAAGAGGCAAUUUAUGGGCUGUGUUAUCAGAAUCCCAAUAAUUUUGCAAGAGAACAUGACAAUAAAAUUCAUUUGAAUAAUAUAAAUGAUAUUUUUAUCUUUUAAAA